UGCGCGAUGCCUGACAAAAGGAUGAUUUUGAUAGAAUCAAUCAUGUGUGAAAAUUGCCCGUCACCACACUCUCGCAA
rnacentral:tRNA from 1 species